rnacentral:rRNA from 1 species
UACAGAGGUGGCAAGCGUUGUUCGGAAUUACUGGGCGUAAGGGCGCGUAGGCGGCCUUCUAAGUCAGACGUGAAAUCCCCCGGCUUAACCUGGGAACUGCGUCUGAUACUGGGAGGCUUGAGUAUGGGAGAGGGAUGUAGAAUUCCAGGUGUAGCGGUGAAAUGCGUAGAUAUCUGGAGGAAUACCGGUGGCGAAGGCGGCAUCCUGGACCAUAACUGACGCUGAGGCGCGAAAGCUAGGGAGCAAACGGG